UUCACAUGUUGGAUUUAUGGAAAAACAAUAGUCAAAGUGAUUAGCAAGAGGUCUUUAUUAGUUGUAACACAUACUGGAAAUAUUACAAUAUAAGAGAGGCGCAUAUACUGUCACUUCCUUCUCCUUUUCACUGCAAUCAAUCACCACAUUUGAAUCCAGUCCAAUCCCGACCCUUCAUAGACCAGAUUAGAGGUCUCAGAGGUCAGGUUGGCUGUUCAGAGGGACUGCUUGCUGGGGUUCAUGAAACCAAGUGAGGGUCAUGGGAGUCAGAGACAGCUCCUGGAGGAUACAGCCUUUCAUCAAAGAUCCCAAGAGAGAAGGCCUGCUGUUCAGAUCAGUUAUAUCCACAUACAACAGGUUCCUUAAUAGUCAUUCACUACCUAAAAGCUGAUUUGGAUAAGGAUGCAACAUUUAGUGAGACAUUUCCAUACCAAACAUAUUCAGUUCAUCACUAUGGGUCUAUCAAAAUGCUAUAACUGUCACUAGUUUUUGCCCUCUGAACCAUUCACCUUGUGUUCACACAGAAGUCCAUCAUUUGUUGGAGCAGAGCAACCAAUAAACUCAACAAUGUGUUAGCAUCAACAAGUUUGUCAGUUGGGAAAAGUUGGCCUGGACUGACCCCAUCUACAUUUCAUGCCUAUCAGUGUUAUCUUAUUUCAUGAACAGUUCCUUAUCAGUUAGGUUAAGCUAAGAAGUUAUCUGUCUGGCAAAUGCAACAUCUUUGUUUCUACAAAUUUUAUUUGAAGUACUGCAGGAUAACCACUAGUAAUAAUUGUAAUAAUGUAAUAAGUGCUGGUCACCUUGGUGGAUGAGAGAUUACUUAUUACCUAUUGGGUAAGCCAGCAGGCUGUUAACUCAUAAAAAUAUUGUAUUGAAAGGCAAAGCCAGAUAACAUGAUUUGCAUGUUUGUUGCAUUGAAGCUGUAGUACAUUACAGAAAUACAACUGAUUUGCACACAGACCAAAUUGCUCUGUGUUAAUCAUUUUUAACAGCACAUUUUGAAUUCCUACAAAUUGAUAGUGGUGAGGUUAUAAACAUUCAUAAUUAUAUUUCAUUAGUCAGGGCAUAAGGGUAUUGCAGGAGUAUUGAUAAUUCUUUACACUACAAUUCUGUGAAUUUGAAAUGGUCAUUUCACGAUGUUCUGUCAAAACCAUCUGUUUCUGUCUAUAGAGGUCAUUCAGAGUGAUCAUUCAGUAAUAUUACUCUUUAAUUAUAAUACAUUGUGAAAACACUUUUUUAAUUACAUACUGUGUUUGCAGCUGUCUGCACCACAAUAAUAACAAUAAUUUGAAGUUUUAAGAGGCUUUCCAUCAUUUGAGUGCGUUUUGGUUUGGUUUGGCUCAGUUGACAAGAAUAACAAUACAAACAGUUGCUGCUUUGCUUCAAGGCAAAAACUGUUUGAAAACAACAUAAAAAACCCUGACCAUAGCAUGCAUCCUCUGACACAUAGGUAAACACAUUUUUUUUUGACAAAAUAAACAAAUAAAAAAAGACAAAAUUGAAAAAACAAAUUGCCUCCAAAUGGUCAUAUUACCAGUAAUAACUAGUCAACAUUGGCAGUGCUGGGUCAGGAAUAAUUUUACCAUGACAGUUUAACAGGUUUGUGUGCAUAUACAGUCUACCCAGUGAAACCGCAGUGACGUUCUGCUCAUAUAAAAAGGUAGAAGCAUUUAAAGUAGAAGACCUCCUUCACACGUAAACAUGCAUUAGUGUACAAUUAUGAAAUAGCCUUUGGUAGCAUAAACGUGACAAAAGCUACAAGGCAGCUGACUUGGUAUUUGCUCAUCACAGCUACAGAGCCAGCCUUUCAUGCUAUGCUAGGCUAUAUUAUUUUACAGUUGUUUUUGUGGAAUGUGAUGUCUAAGACAUUCUAUUUCAAUCUAGACAUGAUAAUAAUUGAUAAUAGUUAAUAAUUUAACUGAUUGAAAACAUUAACUGAAAAUGUAGGAGGUGAGGGACAUGCAACUGCACGGCUAUGUUCAGACCAACAUCAGUGCUGCUUGAAGAAAAUGCAGCACCUCUAUUUAUUUCGAUUAAUGAAAUAAAAUAGAGCGCUCUGACAAAAAAAACAACAACGCAGGGUUGUCCAGUUGAACCUGGCUUAUCUGUUGCCACAAGACAAUGCAAUGACAUCCAGCAAUGAACUGCAGUGGCCAAUCAACUACGUACAUUCCUAAUAGAAUAAAUACCCAAUUCACAUGACAAAGUAAUCUGUUUACCGGCUGAUCGUUGAGACAGAGGAUGAAAUUAUUGUCGCUGUGAUAACUUGUUGUGAAAUUCUUUCUCAUAGUUUUAUAAACUGCUGUGCAGUGUUUCGGUAUCUGAUAAGUCUUCAAAUUAAAUUAUCUAUUGUUCAAACUGGACUUUCUUGAUAGUAUUCGAUCGUCUUACCUCUUCCUUAAACAACAUGCCUACACCAACGCAGACACUUGCGUUUUUAACGCAGAGCUGUUUUUGGUGUGAAUACCCAGUAACAGUAGAAACUGUACAGUGUUGUAUCGGAUUGUGCUCUUUUCUGUCUGAACAGAUUUGAGUUACAGGAGUAAUGUGAAUUCCGUAUUUAUUCUAUUAGGAAUAUGCAUCUACGUAGUCAGAAACUUUCAAAACUUUAUUAAAGCAAAACACAGAUGUAUUUUAGAAAUUACUCAUGAUCAGUUAUUGGUCACUAUAUAGCUGAAUCUUCAUUAGAGAAAUUGCUUAAAAUUGGUAUCCCUACUACAAUCCAAAAAAAGCUGAAUGAAACAUGGCAACAUAAUGAGACAUAACUUAGAACAUCUUACUCAUACUGUACAAAGUGACAGCACACUUUAAUUACCAAAUAGGAAGAUCUAAGAUCUUAAAUAGAAAGAGCUAAGAGCUCUGAUACGUUAGGGAGAGUGUCCAUUGCUUGAAUUGACCAAUGGGAUUUGAAAAAGUGCAAUAAGGAAGAAAAAGGUGCAUUUGGGAUAUUAGGGCAAAAUGGCACAGAACAUAAACAUGCUGCAAAGACUUAAUGUAUUAUUCUCACUGUAUAAAAGUUAAA